CCGCGGAAGAGUCGAGAACGGUCCGAGCAGUAAUUCGCGCCGUGGUGUGUUCAAGAAGUUAGUUUAGCAUAGGCAAGAUAGUGCAUAGUGCAAUUUUGGCGGUUUUCUGGUGCGAGCGUAGACUUGCGGAUAAAGCGAUUUGUGGCAAGUUGCGGAAGCCCGGCACACCACCCCCCGUUUUUAGAACGACCGUUUUCGUCCCGCCUUCCUGCUACGAAGACGUGUACCCGGCGGUACACGUGGCCGGAGAGGGCAGCACACGUUAUUCCCGCGCCCUAGGCAGGGCAGUAGCAACGGGUCCGGCUUUGAGCCGGCCAUUUCCAUCAACGAAAGUGUCCCGAGUGGAAACAAGCGUCCAAAAAGUUUUUUCGUUCGGAUUCGAUCCGGCGACGACCAGCGUGGCAAGCACGACCGAGUCCACUACACCACCGGCGGUGACGAUCGUCGGUGCGACGGCCGUACCCCGUCGAGAAGACCACAGAUCCCCAUGGGAGGCGCCGUUUGAGAACGGCCACACCAGCGAAGAGAAGGAGGAGAUUCCCACCAGGAGUCAACGGGAGAGCGCGUUUUGCACGCGCGCAGAAUUGCACCGUAGCCGCGAAUGCCCCCACGUAGAUAGACAGCGUCCAAACCGUAAGUAGCAUGCAUGCUUUCUUUUUCCCAUGCGCAUGGUGAGAUCUUGC